GGGUAUAUUUGUCUUUGUCUGGAUGCUUCAAAGUAGCUGAAUGGCAACAUCAUUGUUUUUGAUGUGGUAAUUAACAAUAAUAUUAGCAAGACAUGGGCGUUGAAUCUUCCAUCUCUUCAGCUUCUUCGUUCCUACACAAUCAUUUAUGCUUUCUUUCUUGCCUGCAAACAAGUAAAGCAAACACUCUGUAGUCUGUGGUGCUUCAAAACUUACCUCUACUUCUCAGAGAAACAUACUAAUCAAGCCAUCAAGCUCUACUUGUACUUGUUCUAAACCUUCCCUUUUGAUUUCUUUCUUUUAAUUGUCUGUUGUUUCAAAUUACUUUUCUAUAAUUUUCCUUACCCCUGUUUUAACUAUCAAUUCUCUAUCUUUUUAUUAGAUCUGUUUUUACUCAGUAUCAACAAAUUUGUUACUAUAAAAAAAAAAAAAAGAAUUAGCAGUAUCGUCAACUUCUCUUUUUAUUAUUGCUGGUAGUUAUCUGUUUGCUUCAAGCUAGACUAUGUUCAUUGAGGGUUGCUCUUAAAAACUUUGAUUUUUAUACUUGUUUGUUGUGUGUGUGUGCGCGCGCUUUUUUUUUUUGGUAUCCUGAGAACGCUUAGAAGUUUCAUUCUUUAUCUUUUCUGUUUCUUUUUUUCCCCUGUUUUCAUUAUUGAGUUAUCGAUUAGCCUUGCUUUUAUGUUCAGUAUUCUCAGUGUGAAACUAGAUUUUGUUCAUUAAGCUUUUCUCUUAAAUAUUUGUUGAAAUAUUUUGUUAUAUAAUGUUGUCCACUUCUUUUUCUUUCCUUUCCUUUCCCUCCUAAGCACCCUUUACUUGUAGCUUUGCUUGAGAAGGAAAAAAAAAAGAGAGAGAGAGAGAGAGAGAGAGUGUGUGUGUUCAAGUAUUUAUAGGCAAUGGCUGAAGAAAUAGCUAUCAGCACUGCUGCGGGACUUGCAUCAAAUGCUACAGAGUCGGGAUAUGAUUUUCUUAAACAGCAGAUAUCAUAUGUGUUCAAGUACCAGAGCUACAUCAACGACCUCAAAAAACAAGUUCAGGAUCUCAGAAAUAAAAGGGAAACAGUAGAAAAACCUGUAGCGUUGGCUGAAAGACAGGGGGAAGAGAUUUAUAAAGCUGUUAAGAAAUGGCUGAGUGAUGUAGAUGAGUUCACUGAAAGGGUAGAAAAGGCCAUCAUUGAGGAUGAGGAUAAAGCAAACAAGGGUAGCUGUUUCAAAUUGGGGUCAUGUCCUAAUUUGAUUCAACGUUACAAGCUUGGAAAGCAAGCAAUGAAAGCCAAAAUGGAUGGUGCCGAUUUGCUGGGGAAAGGCAAUUUUAGUAGUGUUUCCUACCGUCCUGCUCUACAGAGGACAGAAUCCAUGUAUGUUAGAGACUUUGAGACGUUUGAUUCUAGAGAGCAAGCUUUUCAGGAAAUCAUGGAGGCAUUGCAGGAUGUUAAUGUUAACUUGAUUGGGGUUUAUGGGAUGGGAGGCGUGGGCAAAACCACUCUAGUUAAAAAAGUAGCUUGGGAAGCAAAGAAAAACAAGUUAUUUGAUGAGGUGGUCAUCGUUGAGGCAACACAAACCCCAGACUACAAAAGAAUUCAAGAAAAAGUUGCUUAUGAGUUAGGCCUGGAAUUUAGGCAGCAGGGUGAAUAUGAGAGAACUGAUCUACUACGAAACAGGAUAAGGAAGGAGAAGAAUUUACUAAUAAUUUUAGAUAAUAUUUGGACAAAACUUGACUUGGAUGCAAUUGGAAUUCCUUUUGGUGUUGUUGGGAGAGAAAAAGAUGAGAAGAUCAGGCCGUGCACAAAAGUUGACUCGGAUGCAAUUGGAAUUCCUCUCGGUGAUGUUGAGAGAGAAAAAGAUGAGAAGAUCAGGCCAUGCACAAUAUUGCUAACUUCUAGAAAUCGGGAUUUAUUAAGCAAAGAUAUGCAGACUCAGAAGGACAUAUUCGUUGGUCCUCUAUCUAAUGGAGACGCGUGGAAUAUGUUUCGCAAGAUUGUGGGUGAUGCUGCUGAAAGCUCUGUUUUUCGUUCUGUAGCAGAUGAGAUUGUUAAGAAAUGUGAUGGUUUACCGGUAGCAAUUUCACUAAUUGCAAAUGCAUUGAAAAAUGAGAGUCUUCAUGCCUGGGACGAUGCCUUGGCUCAACUAAAAAGGUCUAAUCCAAGACAUAUUCUAGGUAUGAAAGAAACUUUGUAUUCUAUGACAGAGCUGAGUUAUGAAUUUCUGAAAAAUGAGGAAGCUAAAUCAUUAUUUCUUCUUUGUGCUCUCUACAAAGCUGGUGAUAGUGUGUUUAUUGAUGACCUAUUAAAAUAUAGUAUGGGUUGGAAUUUGUUUGAAGACGUUUAUACGUUGGAAGAAGGAAGGAAUAGAUUGCAUGGGUUGAUAGAUCAUCUAAAAGCUUCUUCUUUAUUGUUGGAUGGUACCUAUGACAAUUCAGUUAAAAUGCAUGACAUUAUUCAUGCUGUUGCUGUAUCGAUUGCAUCAGCAGAGAAGUUGAUGUUUAAUAUUCAAAAUGUCACUGACUUGAAAGAAGUGUUAGAGGAGAGGAUAUCAAAAGAUUCAACUGCUAUAUCUUUGCCCUAUAAAAAUAUCAAUGAUGAUCUUCCUGAACGGUUAGAAUAUCCAAAACUAAAGUUGUUCUUCCUUUUCGUUAAAAAUCGCUCUCUACAAAUUUCAGAUACUUUUUUUGAAAAGAUGAAAGAACUUAGAGUUUUAAGUCUUCACGGAUUGCGAUUCUUGCCAUUACCUUCAUCCAUUUCUUUCCUAAAAAACCUUCAAACAUUGUUUCUGAAAUCCUGCAUAUUAGAGGAUAUAAAAAUACUCGGAGAGCUAAGUAAAUUAGUAAUUCUUAGCUUGGUCGAGUCUAAUAUUGAAGAGUUGCCUGCAGAAAUUGGACAAUUGACUCGGUUGAAAUUGUUAGAUUUGAGCAAUUGUUUAAACCUUAAAUACAUUGCCACAAAUGUCAUCUCCUCCUUGUCUCGAUUACAAGAAUUAUAUAUGGGCAAUAGCUUUGUUGAAUGGGAACUUGAAGGAGUCGAUAAUCAAGGACGAAGAAAUGCUAGUCUUGAAGAGUUGAAGUGGUUGUCUAACCUAACAGCUUUACAUCUUCACAUUCAGGAUGCUCGAGUUAUGCCACAAGACUUGUUCUUCAAGAAACUGAAAAGUUAUAAAAUAUUUAUAGGAGAUAAAUGGAAGUGGUCUAUUAAAUUUGACCUUUCAACUUCAAGAAUGUUGAAACUCAAGAUCGAUGAUAGUAUUCAUUUAGGGCAUGGGGUCAAAAGUUUGUUGAAGAUGACCGAAGAUCUCUCUCUAGAAGGAACGAGUGGUGUUAGAAAUGUUAUUUAUGAACUCAGUGUGGAUGGUUUUCCACAUUUAAAGCAUCUGCAUGUAAAAGAUGAUCUCGAGCUUUUAUAUAUCUUUAACUCAGUUGCUUGGAAACUAGUCUUUCCCAACUUGGAGUCCUUGAUUGUUGGUAAUUUGAUUAAACUGGAGAACAUAUAUCAUGGUCAACUUAAUGCAGGGUCUUUUGGAAAAUUAAGGAUCAUAAAAAUAGAAAAAUGUGGUAGAUUGGAGUAUCUCUUUGCGUCUUUCAUAGCAAAAAACCUUGCGCGGUUAGAAGAAAUUGAAGUGACUGAUUGUAAGAACCUGAAAGAGAUUUUUAGCGAAGAAAAUAAUGACCAUGGUGAUGAAAUUGAAACAAAUAAUCAGACUGAGCUCAAUCAAUUGUGUUCUCUAACACUACAACGCCUACCCAAAUUCAUAACAAUCAACUCUGACAUGAGGGUUGUCUUUCCAAGAUUGGAGAACUUGAAAGUAUGUUCAAUUAAUUUUGAGAAUACAUGCAUUCAUCAAGCUCUAGCAAUAUUUCAUUAUAGUCGAUGCUUAAAUAGCUUAACUGUGGAAGACUGUAAUGAUUUGAAAUUUUUGUUUUCAUCCUCUAUGGUCAAAAGUCUAACUCAACUCCAAAAGCUUUUGAUAAGCAAUUGUAAGUCAAUGGAAGUAAUAAUUGACUCAGAAGGAGUACAAAACGAGGAAAAGAUAGUCGAUAUGAGUUUUUCUAAACUAUUGUACAUGAAGCUCGAAGUUCUUCCAAAACUCACAAGUUUUGGUGCAGGAAAUUUGAUUGAAUUCCCUUUCUUAAAAGAACUUCACAUUGAGCGUUGUCCUAAUUUGAAGACAUUCUGCUGUAAAUCUUUUUAUCCAGAAACAGAGAGAAAACCUAAUGAAGAGAUGAACUCGGAGAACAACUUUAUUAAUAUAAACCCACUCUUCGAUGAAAAGGUCACUUUUCCAAGCUUGGAGAAGAUGGUUCUCUUGCACUUGGAUAGCUUGAAGCUGAUAUGGCACAUCCAAAAACUCCAUACUGAAUCCUUUUGCAAACUAAAAGUAGUUAGAGUCGAAUCUUGUGAAAAGUUGUUGACUAUUGUUCCAUCUAAUACUCAAGGGCAUCUCACCUUUCACAAUCUGGAGAUACUGGAGGUUAGAAGUUGUUGGAGUAUGAAAAGUCUCUUUCCAGUUUCUACCACUACUGGUCUUGUGCAACUUAAAAGGCUGUGGAUAAGCUCUUGUGGAUUGGAGAAAAUUGUUUCUGAGGGAGAAGUUAAUGGGGCCCCAAUAUUUUUGUUUCCACAAUUAACAAACAUCCACCUUGAAAAUUUACGGGAACUGAAAUGUUUCUACCCGCGGUUGCAUGCAGUAGAGUGGCCAAUGUUAAGCAGUUUGAGUGUGUAUAAAUGCAAGAACAUAAAUUUAUAUGCCUCUGAAUUUCCAAGCUUCCAAGCUAGAGAAGCAGAGAGGCAGCCUUCCCUUUUUUUGUUAGAAAAGGUCAUACCAAAUUUGGAAGAGUUGGGAUUAGACGCACAUGACUUCAGAUUGACAUUACUCCACUCUGAAAUAGUUCAAAGCUUUGGCAAGCUUAAAAUGCUUUGGCUGGCUUAUUUUGAUGAUGAAUUUGUUGCUUCUUUGUUUGAUUUCCUUAAAAAGUUAAGUUGUUUGGAGUCACUUGGUUUUUCUCAUAAUAGUUUCAAAGAGCUAUUCCCCUAUGAACAAGGACUUAUAUGGAAACAAGAUUUUUGGGGGAACACAUUUCUUCCAAAUCUUCAAAAGCUAGAAGUGCGCAGAUGUGAUUGUUUGACAAUUUUAAUGCCAUCUGCAAUACCUUUCAAAAAUCUUGAAACUCUGGAAGUAUACAAAUGCCAUGGAUUAGUCAUGGUACUAACAAGUGAAGCAACCAAAACUCUUGUCAAUCUUACAACAAUGAGAAUAAGAGAGUGCAAGCUAUUGAUAGAGGUAAUAGCACACAAGGGAGACAAAGAAGAAGAGAUUGUUUUUGGCCAAUUGAAAGUUUUGGAGCUUCACUGUUUAUCAAGCCUUGCAUUCUUCUGCUCAGCCAAUUAUUCCUUCAAAUUCCCCUGUUUGGAGCAAGUUAUUGUGAGUCAAUGCCCAAAAUUGAAUGUCUUUUCGCAAGGAGUUUUAAGCACACCGUCGUUAAAGAAAAUACAACUGAUUGAGCCAAAUGAUGAUGUGGAAUAUUUCUGGAAGGAUGAUCUCAAUUCUACCAUUCAACAAAUGUUUAUAGAUAUGAUUGGUUUCCGCAACAUGGAAUAUGUCAAGCUCUCUGAAUUCCCCACAUUAAAGGAGAAAAUUUGGAACAAAGGAUUGCCAGUCGGCUUAUUCUGCAAUUUAAAGUGGUUAGUAUUGGAUGAGGAUUUUGAUAAGUCAACUGCUUUUCCGUUCCAUGUAUUCAAUGAUUUAAGAAAUUUGGAGACUCUGGAGGUGAGAAAUUACCAUUCAUUGGAAGAUUUAUUUGAUAUAAGAGGAAAGACAGUAAAGAACAGUAAGGAAGAAAUUUUGGGCUUCCACAACCUGAAAUCACUGAAAGUUCACGGUUGCAGCGGCUUGAGAUAUAUAUUUACUCCUGCUAUCAUCUUGGGCCUUGAUCAACUUCAAGAAAUUGAAGUGAAGAAUUGUGCUUUGAUUGAAGAAAUUAUUACAAAAGACAAAGGAAAGGAGGGUGCCAUUGAUAAAAUUUCCAUCACUCAUCUGAAUUCCAUUGUUCUUGAGCUAUUGCCUGACUUGAGAAACUUCUAUUCAGGAACUAACUAUUUGGAGUGCCCUUCCUUGAAAAGUAUUACUAUAGCCAACUGUCCAAAGAUGGAGACGUUUGUUUUCUCUGAUUACAAGAUGGACCAUUUUGAUCAUAAUGCACCACUUUUCAGUGAAAAGGUUGCUUUUCCAAGCUUGGAGAAGAUGGUGCUCUUGCACUUGGAUAACUUGCAGCUGAUAUGGCACAACCAAAAUCUCAAUGUGGAAUCCUUUUGCAAACUAAAAGUAGUGAGAGUUGAAUUCUGUGAAAAUUUAUUGACUGUUGUUCCAUCCAAUACUCAAGGACUUCUCACCUUUCACAAUCUAGAGAGUUUGAAGCUUAAAAAUUGUCGGAGUUUGAAAAGUCUGUUUCCUGUUUCUAUCGCUAUUGGUCUUGUGCAACUUAAAGAGCUAUGGAUAUACUCUUGUGGGCUGGAGAAAAUUGUUUCUGAGGAGGAAGUUAACGAGGCCCCAACAUUUUUGUUUCCACAAUUAACAGACAUCUGCCUCGAAAAUUUAAGGGAACUCAAAUGUUUCUACCCACGGUUGCAUGCAAUUGAAUGGCCAAUGCUAAGAAGUUUGCAUGUGUAUAGAUGCAAGAAGGUAAAAGUAUAUGCUUCCGAAUUUCCUAGCUUCGAAGCUAGAGAUGGGGAGAGGCAGCCUACCCUUUUUUUGUUAGAAAAGAUCAUGCCAAAUUUGGAAGUGUUGGGAUUAGAUGCACGUGACUUCAGAUUGACAUUCCUCCACACUGAUCUGGCUGAGGACUUUGGCCAACUUAAAAUUCUUAAGCUGGGUAACUUUGAUGAUGAAUCUAUUGCUUCUUUGUUCGAUUUCCUUCAAAAAUUAAAUUUUUUGGAAUCAGUUGGUUUUUAUGGUAAUAGUUUUAAAGAGCUAUUCCCUUAUGAACAAGGACAUAUAUGGAAACAAGGUCUCCAAGGGAGCACAUUUCUUCAAAAUCUACAAAAGCUACAAGUAUAUAGAUGUCAUUGUUUGACAAUUUUAAUAUCAUCCGCAACGUCUUUCAAAAAUCUUAAAACUCUGGAGGUGUGCAAUUGCGAUGGAAUAGCCAAGGUACUAACAAAUGAAGCAACCAAAACUCUUGUUAAUCUCACAACAAUGAGAAUAAGAGAGUGCAAGCUAUUGACAGAGGUAAUAGCAGAUGAUGGAGACAAAGGAGAAGAGAUUGUGUUUGGUGAAUUGAAAAUUUUGGAACUUUAUUGUUUAUCAAGCCUCCAAUUCUUCUGUUCAGCCAAUUACUCCUUCAAAUUCCCUUGUUUGGAGCAAAUUAUGGUGAGUCAAUGUCCAAAAUUGAGCACCUUUUCUCAAGGCGUGUUAAGCACACCAUUAUUAAAAAAAUUACAACUGAUGAAACAAGAUGCUCAUCAAGAAUAUUUUUGGAAAGAGGAUCUCAAUUCCACUAUCAAGCAAAUGUUUUCUGAUAUGGUUGGCUUCUGUAACUUUGAACAUUUGACACUCUCUGAAUUCCCUAUCAUGAAAGAAAAAUUAUGGAAUGACCAAUUGCCAAUGAACAUAUUCUGGAAUUUAAAGUCGCUAGUGGUGGAUAAAUUUUCAGAUAUAUCAAAUGGUAUUCCAUUGAAUGUGUUAUGCCACUUCAACAAUCUGGAAUUGUUAGAGGUAAAAAGUUGUGAAUCACUAGAACAAGUGUUUGAUUUGGAGGUAAAUCAUCAAGAAAGUUUGGGCUUAAAGAAAUUUAGAUCAUUGAAAAUUGACAAUUGUAACAGCUUGAAAUAUAUAUUGACUCCAUCUGUACUAUUGCGCCUUGUUCAACUCCAAGAAAUAGAAGUGAAAAACUGUGCUUUGAUAGAAGAAAUCAUUAAAAGUGAAGGGGAGAAAGAUGCGGGAAGUGAUAAAAUUAUAAUCCCUCUAUUGAACUCCGUCAUGUUUGAGUCAUUGCCUAACUUGACAAGCUUCUAUUCUGGAAGUACAAUUUUGGAAUUUCCUCCCUUGCAAACUAUUAUUGUUAAGGACUGUCAGAAGAUCUAUAUGAAGGAGCUCAGUAUUCAUCUUUCAUCCCUUUUCACUGCUAAGGUUGUAUUACCCAGCUUGGAAACAUCUUCUUACUUCCAGAAUUUAACAAUCUUGGUUAUCGAUGGCUUUGAUCAUUUGCAAUAUCUAUUCCCAUCUUCUAUGGUGAAAAGUCUUUUCAAACUGAAGGAGCUUGAGAUAUCUGAUUGUAUGUUAAUGGAAAGAGUAAUAGAUGAAGAUGAAGGGAGAACAGAAAUGAUGUUGUUUCCUAAACUGUACCAGCUGAAGCUUAGAGAUCUUCCAAAACUCACAACAUUCUGCAACUCCACAACAAAUUCUGUUGAAAUGUCUUCCAUAUUCAGACUCUGGAUUGAUAAUUGCCCUGGUAUUGAAACAUUCAUCUCCAGUUAUGUAUGUGGUGAUAUGACAUUAUCAAGCAAAGAACCUGAAGGAAUGAGUGCAAAGGAGAACUCUACUCACGUGCCAGCUCUUUUUGAUCAGAAGGUAAGACUACCUAGUUUGGAGAGAUUGAAAAUCAGUCAUGCUGAUCAGCUGGUAAAAUUAUGGAACAAUCAGGUCUCCGUGGAUUCCUUCAAUAAAUUAAAUCGCUUGUUCGUACAAUUUUGUAAAAAUCUUGCAAGUGUUUUUCCAUCUAACAUGCUUGAGAAGCACCAGAAAUUGGAGUUCUUGAAAGUACAAAAUUGUGAUUCAGUUGAGGAGAUAUUUGAAGUGCUCGAGAAAAGGUCUAGUAUGAUGGAAAAAAUUGUUGCCAAAGGGGAAGCAGUCCCCAGGUUUGUAUUCUCCAAAUUAACCAACCUGUCUCUGGAGAUGCUACCAAGUCUCAAGAGUUUCUACCCAGAUAUGCAUAUUUCAGAAUGGCCAAUUUUGGAAGAUUUGAAGGUAUAUGGUUGCAAUAAUGUGGAGAUCCUUGCUUCAGAAUUAUUGAGCAUCCCAGGAAGUCACGGAGACAGUCAACAACCACUGUUCUUCGUUUACAAGGGUGCAUUCCCUAGCUUGGAAAAAUUAGAGUUGUGUGGAAUGCCCAGGUUAAAGCAUCUAUGGAGAGGCAAUUUUCAGCCUUGCAAUGCUUUUCAAAAUCUCCAGACUCUGAAAGUAUCAGAAUGUGACAGUUUAGAAAAUUCAUGGUCCUCAUCAUUGACUUUCCAGAACUUGACAACUCUGGAAGUUUCAAAGUGUGAUGGAUUGAGAUAUUUACUGAACCCCUCAAAAACUAAAACUUUGGGUCAACUUACAAGGAUGAUUGUAUCUGAUUGCAAACAGAUGGAGGAAAUUAUGACACAUUUGGGAGAUGAAGUAAUGGAGAAUUCAAUUGCUUUCAGCAAAUUGGUUUGUUUGGAACUUCACUGCUUGUCCAGCCUUAAAAGCUUCUGUUGUAGGGAUUAUUCUCUAGAAUUCUUAUCCUUGAAAAAAGUAAUUGUUAGGCAAUGCUUGGAGAUGGAGACUUUUUGUCGUGGAGUUUUGAGUACACCAAAGCUCGAAAGACUACAGUUGACAGAAGGAGGAGAGGAUGAAGUAGAAGAAUGUUGGGAAGGCAACCUUAAUUCCACCAUACAAUAUUUGUACAACAAUACGAAAGUGUGGAGCUCCAAAGAAGAUUGAGGUCACUCCUAUAAAUAGUUUGCGAUAGACCAUGGCUUCAUUUCCUCCGGUUGAAGAGGGACUUUGUUUCUGCCAUCUUAACUGAUUUGAUCCUCACAUUUUGUUGAAUGUGGAGUGCCCUCUGUUUACGCAUUUUGUGCAGUUGAAGAAAACUAUCCAGUGUAUGGCUCAUUAAAAAAUAGACAAUGGCUCCAGAAAUAGCUAUGGUUUCUGUCUCAGAAGUUGCAUCAAAGGCUACAUCAGAUAUGUCAAUCAAGUUCAAAGGCUAAGACAAGUUUUCCUAACUGACCACCGAGUUCCAAUUCAGCUGGUCAGUCCAGGUUUUAAAACUAUCUGUUAUGCAUUUGAAACAAGAUGGCAAGUUACUUGGUAUAAGAAAUCAAACAAACAAAAUAUAUUAUCUAUAUUUUUGGUAUAUUUGAUAUGAACAAUCAGGCUGUAUAAUGAGUAGCUAGCAGUACCAGGUAUUUAAAAUGACUACAAGUCAUGUAAUUAUGUUAAGGAGAAGCAAUAGGAGACCAAAAUGCUAGAUUGAAAUACGAAAUCAGGGCUCCUCCACCAUGUUUUCUGCCUCCUGUCUCUCGGAUUCAAAUAGGACAGAAGAAAGAUACCUCUCUCCAAAACUUGGAAAAAUUACCUGCAUCAGAAAUUCAGAAGUCCAUCUUUAAGCACAGGCAGAAAAUUACUGAAAACUCUACCAAAGAACCUGCUAGGGGAAUGUCUCCACUUACAACAAUAAGUUUUCCAGCAUUCCCAGGUCUCUUUGCAAUCUUAAUUGCAGCGGCAGCACCAGAUGAUAUUCCCACCUGCAAUAGACACUCCAAUGGUCAGAGAUGACUUGGAGAUACAAAUUUGUUGCUGUGAGUGUGAAAAAAGAAACAAACUACAUAAUUAUUCCAUGAUACUGCUAGCAAGAACAGCUUCAAAUCUACAGUAAAUGAUUUUGGAGAAGCUGAAAACUUACAAGUAAACCUUCUUUCAGGGGAAGAAGCUUUGCUGUCUCAAUUGCUUCAUUACUUGAUAUCUGCAAAAUUGGAAAAAAGGCGGUUUUGCAAUCUGAAAACAUGGCUAGAAAUAGUCACUGGAAGAAGCAAACUGCUAUGUCCAAUAAGAUAUAAGCAUGUACUCAGUACAUAAAUACACAAUCGGUAUGUGAAGUUUAAAUUUCCCAACAUCUACUCUCUUUCUGAAUUUUCAUUUCACUUAAAAUCUUCAAACAUUUCAUGUUUGGUUGA